AUCUCCCCACUGCUAUUUGCUCCCCAGCAGUCAACCAGGAUGCUGCUCUUCUGUGUGCUUCUCUUAGUAUCUCUGAUAGGGGAAAGUUCUGAACAGACAAUAACAGCAAUGAUGGCUGAAAUGAACACUUUAGAUGGAGAAAAUGUCAUCCUCUCUUGCAAAUAUGACGGCAGCAUUCAGAGUUUGCAGUGGUAUCUCCAGUACCCCGGAUCUAAACCAGAAUAUGUGCUUUUAGUCUUUGAAACUACAAACACUGUCAUUCGUGCUGACUCUCAAAAUCUACGGCUCAAUGCCACGGUGAACUCGGACAGAAAUCAAGUUUCUUUGGAGAUCUCCUCUGCAAAGAUCUCAGACUCUGCUGUGUACUACUGCGCUCUGCAGCCCACAGUGACAGGAAACACAACAAGCCUGUACAAAAACCCAGGAGCAAAUGGCAGUGUUUUUGUACAGGGAAAUUACUCUGUCGAACAGCUAACAAAGGAAUUGAGCAGUUUAGAGGGAGGACUGGUGACUCUGUCCUGUGAAUACACAGUGGUGAUGUUGAGGAGGUUUCAUGCUGAGUUCAACAUUACCUCUAAAAUUGAUCCCUUGACCAUCCUGAAGGGUCUGAUUCUGCUGUGUACUACUGUGCUAUGA